rnacentral:misc_RNA from 1 species
GAUGGAGAACGUAGCGAAAUGCGAUAAGUAAUGUGAAUUGCAGAAUUCAGUGAAUCAUCGAAUCUUUGAACGCACAUUGCGCCCCCUGGUAUUCCGGGGGGCAUGCCUGUUCGAGCGUCAUUACAACCCUCAAGCUCUGCUUGGUAUUGGGCCCCGCCAGUUCUGGCGGGCCCUAAAGUCAGUGGCGGUGCCUUCCGGCUCCGAGCGUAGUAAUUCUUCUCGCUCUGGAGACCCGGUUGUGUGCUUGCCAACAACCCCCAAUUUUUUAAGGUUGACCUCGGAUCAGGUAGGGAUACCCGCUGAACUUAAGCAUAUCAAUAAGCGGAGGA